AGCAGUUGGAGACACAGAGGUGCUGU
rnacentral:piRNA from 1 species